rnacentral:tRNA from 1 species
GUAACUAUAAUUUAAAAAAAAUAUUAGAUUGUGGUUCUAAAAAUGGAAGUGAAAAUCUUCCUAGUAACC